GUGAAAGAGGAGAUGGUGCAGGAGAAUCCUUUGACCUUCUGAGAGCAGCUGACUGGAAACAAAACACAUCUCUAAUGGACCAAUGGACAAGCUGAGACAGGAUAGAAGGACCCUGAAACUGCACUUAGUUGUGUCAUCGCCACGAAUCCCAUUGCCUGGAAUACGCUGGAAUGAAUAUGCUCUCAACUCUUUCACCAGUGCGGCUAUAGACAUCUGCUCCACCAGCUCUGGCCUCUGGCUCACCUCUCGGUAUGAGAAUGGCCGACCUCCCACCAUCACCACUGGCUCAUCCCCCACCUCCUCAAACUCAUCAUCGUCCUCUUCCUCUUCUUCGUCAGCCCGAU